AAGAAUGAUGACAAAUGGCUCACCUAAGCCCGAGACCCUGUUGCCCAAGCAGUGAAAUGGGUGCUUAUUCGACACUUCACGUUUGAUGUUAUUCAGCCCGAAUUGUCUUCUCAACUUUUUUUUUGUGAAGGCUUACCACAGGACUGCACGCUCAAAAAGUCUGCAAGUGCCUCAGCACAUGGGACCCGUGAAGGAGUCGAUGGAGGAGCCUCUACUUGCCACAACGUCCGGUUGAUGAUACGGUGAGCACGUCGUUGAAGUAGUCGUCCUUUCAGACCCCAAAACCUGUAGACUUAACUUCAGGGGCUGCCAACGUGGUGUCGAUGAAGUUGAGAUAUGCACACAACUCUCAAAUGCAAAGAUGCCCGUGAGACGCUACUUGCAAAUGAGAGUUUCGACAUGCUAGGGGGUAGGUUGCCAUCGUCUCCUCCAAACGAGCUACUCAGCUGCACUAUGCAUCCGUGAGUCGAUCGGAUAUUGCAGGGACCCUCAGCGCUCACAUCGGAGGGUGUGAAUACAGGCAUAUUCUCGCAACGGUAGUUAGUGAAAUGGUGCAUUAUUUCUCAAGAGUCAGUUCCUUGAUCACAGCGGCCUUGAGCGAGAUGAGGGCACUCAAAUGAACAUUUCUCUUUGUCCAUUCUCUCUGAAGCACUCAGAGAGGAUCCUGUGCCCCUCUGAAAAGACAUCCUAUGGGAGGACAAGGCCUGCAAGGCUCUCUUUGCCUCGUGCUAUUCCUUUCACACUUUUCUUGACCAAAGCAGGAAAAUGAAGUCUACCUUUGGCUCGUCCGCUUAGGAAAGCACAUGAGGUAGUUCGUUCAGACACAGAG
rnacentral:misc_RNA from 1 species